GGAUUAUCCAGGUGGGCCCAAUGUAAUCAGAGGAGUCCUUAUGAAGAGAGAGGCAGAGGGUCAGAGCCGGAGACCAGCAUGUGAGAACGGAAGCAGAAGCUGAAGUGCUGGGGGGCCACGAGCUGAGGAAUGCAAGGAGCUUGUAGAAGCUGGAAAAGGCUAGGAACGGAUUCUUCUCUAGAGUGUCCAGAAGGAACACAACUCUGCCAUCACCUUGUUUUAAGUCGAGUGAGACUGAUUUUGGCCUACUGACCUCCAAAACUAUUUUCUAGAGAACUGCAUAGAAAUGUGUGGAUGUGUGGGGCUCCCUUUCCUAUAAAUCCCUCCAUUGACAUGAUGCUCUUUGAGAACAAACGUAACCCAAAUGGGACAGUGGACCACGCCAGGCAACAUCUGCCUUUGUUCUGUCCCUACUUGAAGGCCAUACACUGUCCUCAGUGCAUCAAAGGCACACACAAUACAUAAUCCAACUCCUGAAACAUGGCUUAUCAGUGUAAUUUUUAUAGAAGCUUCCUAUUGAGGCAAAAGAGAGGAUUAUCUGUUGAACUAUUUAACACAAUUUAAUCCUGUUUACCCACCACGGCCCGUCUCUGUUCUCCAACCUCCUCCGUCGACAUAGCCUCAAAAAAUCUUUACUUUUCACAGCAGGAGCUCUGUGCCCGUAGGUAGUAUACCACACUGGGCAAACCAAAAGCAAUGGGCUUCAGAAGCUUGGCAAGAGAGAAGCAAGGAGAAAAAAAUACCAUCUUUGACCCUUUGCUGCUUCAACCAGACCUUGCUCUCCAAUUCCUUAGGGAAAACAGAAGGCCAAAAGCAAGAGAAACAAAAGAAGUUAAUACUCAGCUUUGGGACUUGCAAGGAACCAGAUCCUAAUGGUUUAAAUUCAUAUUUACGGGUUAUUUUUUUUUUACUAUAUAUAAUUUUCUCCCUAAUUAUUGACUUUAGAAAUGAACUUUAUUUGAAUGUGAUAGUCUAUGGUAUCACAGCAGCAUUGCUGGUGAUGGCAACAGCCCACGAGAAGAGUGAGGAGACGAAGGGGCAUUUUAGCUGGGCCUUGAAGGAUGAAUAGGACCUCAUCAGGGAGUGAUGAUGGGAAAGAUCCUGCUUCAUCUUUUUUUUCCGGACCUUGCAGUCUCUUCUCUUGCAUAAUUCCUACUGUGGGCGUUCUAGCCACAUUCACUUUCUGUGGAUCCUUUGGAUUCCUCAGCCUUUGCCC
rnacentral:lncRNA from 1 species